GGAUGAGGGUAGCGUGCUGCUGCGCGACCCCUGUCCUCAAAAACAAAUCAGUCAGCUACACAUGUAGAUCUGCCCGGAAAAGGCUUGCGGACGGGGGUUCGAUUCCCCCCGGCUCCACCA
rnacentral:tRNA from 1 species